rnacentral:rRNA from 1 species
AUGCUCCGGCUCCGAGAGUCCAUCCUUUGCCAUAUUCUCUCUUCCCCCUCCAAAGCUGGAUUCGCCCCACUCCGCUGUCUCCUCUCCGCCACCGCGUCGCCCCCCAUUUCCCCAAAUCCCAGUGGCUUCGCCGUGGAGGAGUACCUCGUCGACACCUGCGGCCUCACCCGUCCCCAAGCCCUCAAGGCCUCCAAGAAGCUCUCCCACCUCAACUCUCCCGCCAAUCCCGACAAUGUCCUCGCCUUCCUCUCCGGCCUCGGCCUCUCCGGCGCCGACGUCGCGGCCGUCGUCGCCAAAGACCCGUUCUUCCUCUGCGCCGGCGUGGAGAGAACCUUGGUCCCCGUCCUUGACGGCCUCACCGGCCUCGGCCUGUCUAGUCCUGAGAUUGGCCGCCUCGUCUUGCUCGCCCACCACAACUUCCGCUGCAGAUCCAUCGUCUCCAAGAUGCAGUACUAUCUGCCCCUCUUCGGCUCCUGCCACAACUUCCUCCGGGUGCUCCAGCGCUCGUCCUACCUUCUCUCGUCGGACCUCGACAAGGUGGUCAGGCCCAAUGUUGUGUUCCUGAGGGAGUGCGGGCUAGGUGAUUGUGAUAUUGCCAAGCUGUGUGUCCGUGUGUCGAGGAUGCUCACCACCAACCCGGAGAGGGUCCGGGGGAUGGUGGCAUGUGCUGAAAGAUUAGGCAUGCCCCGUGGGUCUGGGAUGCUUAGGCAAGCGCUGCAGGCUGUUGCGUUUCUCAAUGAGGAGAAGAUCGCCGACAAAGUGGACUACUUGAAGAACACGUUCAGGUGGUCUGCUGCUGAGGUAGUCAUUGCUUUGUCUAAGGCUCCGAUGCUUCUGAAGAUUUCUAAGGACAUGCUACAACGCAAAUCCGAGUUCCUGUUAUCUGAGGUGGGGUUGGAACCAGUGUACAUUGCUCAUCGAUCAGUAAUUCUCUGUCUUAGCCUGGAGGGGCGGGUCAGGCCCCGGUACUAUGUUCUAAAGUUCCUCAAGGAAAAUGGAUUGGUAGAUCGCGACCUGAGCUUCCAUACUGCAGUCAAUAGGCCCGAGAAGUAUUUCAUGGAGAAGCUCAUAUCCCCUCACAAGGAAGCUGCACCACACCUCGCUGAAGACUAUGCAACCGCUUGCAAAGGAGAGAUGCCAACUAAUUUGAGAUUUACAUGA